AGCAGGGAUCUGGGAAUUUAGAUAUGCAGCGCCCAUGUCUGCUAACUCCCCAAAUAGUCCACUAAUCAUAGGUAAUAGCAAUUCUGUUCCCAAUGAAAAGUCUAAAACUGCUCUCAAGAAAAGAAAAGCUUGUCAUGCAUGUAAUAACCCCAGAAUGGAAGGAAAGAAGUUCCAUGAAGACUGCUUCAGCCGUAGGAUCCAGUGAGGCUACUCCUUCUACCUCUACAGACCACAUGAAAGAAUAUUUUUCCUGGAUAAAGAAAGUGGUCUCUUCUUCUUCUUCCUAAUGUGUCAAUCCUGGCACAAAAGAAACACCUAUUCCUGGACUCCGAAACAGCAUACACCAUGGGUUUAUCCCAAGUUUCGAAGGCAACAGUAAAAGCUUUGCACCAUCUUAGAUCUCAGGGAUGCUUACUAUCACGUUCCGGUAGCCCUCCAAGAUGAAAGGUUCCGGAGGUUUGCAAUACUUGCCUACCCUUGCCUACCACUUCCAAUUUACUUGCCUACCCUUUGGGUUGUCAACUUCAUCCAGAACUUUCCCAAAGAUUCUGAUAGUUCUAGUUGCUCAUCUGAGGAUAUCAGGUGUUCAGAUAUUCCAUUAUUUGGACGAUCUCCUAAUCAAAGCUCCUUCCAGGGAGAAGCUAGUGUCGGACGUCUAUGUAGUCCUGCCGAGCCUUCAAUCUCAUGGUUGGCUCAUCAAUUUGGAGAAGAGCAACAUUAUUCCAACUCAGGGACUCAAGUUUUUAGGAGCAGUCAUAAGUUCAAGACAAACAGAUUAUGAGGAUCCUUGUCCUCAUGACUUCUUGCACAUAGAUGGUCCCUUGGGCACAGUGGCAUUCAAGAUCCCUUCAGAGUUGGUUUCUCUGGAGAUGGAACAAGGUGGAUCUUCACCAGAAUUUCUACUUACCUCCUUAUGUUUGUCUGCAGUUGAACUGGUGGCUGACUUUGGGAAAUCUGGAAAAGAAGCAACAUUUAGGGAAGAUUCAGUGGGAUGUCCUGACCUUGGAUGCGUCAGCCACAGACUGGGUGCUCACCUGCACUCAAACUCGGCUCAAGGUCAUUGAGAGUGCAGACUUCGGGAUGUACCUUUGAACGUUCUGGAGAUAAGAGCGCUGUGGGAAGCUAUUCAGACAUUUCUCCAAUCCUCAGAGGGAGAUCCUUUCUUUGUAGACUAGGCAACACUUCAGCAGUACAGUACGUAAAGAAACAGGGGGGGACCAGGAGUCUAUCUCUCCCAGGCGAGAUAGCCCCAGAACAGAAUCUAUCCAAUCUGUCCGCUAUGUAUUUGCCGGACAAACAAAAUAUUUCCACAGACUUUCUGAGCUGAACCCAAAUUCAGCCUGGAGAGUGGGAGUUGGAGGACAAGGCGUUCAAGUUUAUCACCAAGAUCUGGGGAUAUCCAGAAGUAGAUCUCUUUGCAACUUCUUCCAACAAGAAGGUUUAAAGAUUCAUGACGAAAUUUCCUUCAGAAGGUGCAGAGGCAGUGGAUGCCUUAACAGCUCCUUGGCGCUUCAAGAUGGGAUAUGCUUUCCCUCCUUUUCUUUUGAUGCUACUUCUGCUAAGGAGGAUAGCCUCAUAGAGAGUAACCAUAAUUCUGACCUCUUUGACCGUGAAGAGUCUGGUUCCUGAUCUUGAAGAGUCUGGCUUAUUGUCCACCUAUCCUUUUGAAUCAAUUUUUUUACUACUAUCUGCUUCAUUAGGGGCUGGUCCGGCAUCUGGAUCCCCAAGUUUUUAGUUUGGUAACCUGGAAAUUGAAGAGUCUAAAUUGAGAGAGGUUGGUUGUUCGGAACAGGUGGUCUCAACUCUUAUGGCUUCUAGAAAGCCUUCUACCAAGACUACUUACUAUAGGAUCUGGGACAAGUUUGUCCAAUGGUGUCUGGAAAAAGAUCUCAAUCCUGUUAAGCUACUGUAGAAGUCCUGGAGCUUCUUCAAACAGGACUAGACAAGGGACUAAGUCCUAGUGCUGUAAAAGUCAAAAUUUUGGCUAUUUCUGCCCUCUGUGGAAUAAGAUUGUCCAAUAUACUCAUUCAAAGAUCCUGUGUGACCAAGGCGAAGUUAAAGCCGAAGGCAAGAUCUUUCUGUCCCUCGUGGGAUUUAACUAAGGUAGUUGAAAUGCUAUCUGAACCUCCAUUUAAGCUGGCCAUACACGCACCGAUAAUAUCGUACGAAACCUUGUUUCGUACGAUAUUCGGUGCGUGUAUGGCAAGUUGGCGAGUCGACCGAUAUAGCAGGAAGCUGCUCGCCGAUCGUCCAGGUUAAAAGAUUUUGAUCGGGCGCCAUAGAAAAUGUAAAUUGCCGGUGGGAUGGCAUACGCGGCGAUUUACAUUUUCGCCGGUCGGAUGGCAUUUCGGGGUUUAUUGGGUUUAUUUAAUGGUUAAAUAUUCUUCAACAGAUUAAAGGAAUGAAGAUCUUACAGAAUUUACAGAAAGACCCAUUACCCAGAAAACUUAGGUCCCAAGUUUUCAAGAUAAUAGAUCCAGUAUAAGCUAAACAAAACAGUUUUUGUUUUAUAUUAAAUUAGUCUCCAUAAGCAACAGAAUUUUAAAACGUUAAGGUGAUUGGUCAGUUCUUAUGUACCUACCCCAUAGCUCUGUUUAACUUAUCAAAUUGUUACACCAAAUACCUAAUAAUACCUCUAAUAAUACCUAAUAAUACCUAAUAAUACCUCUUGACUGUGAUUUUUAUUUUACCAUGUAGUUUUUCUUUUACCAAGAAGUAGAUUCACUAAGAUUGGGCUGGUCAGGGCUUAUGCCAUUAACCAUGAUGCCAGUGCAAAAACCAUGGUCGGACUGGCCCACUGGGAAAAAUUCUAGUGGGCAGGAACUGGUGGUCCCUGCUGCAGCUGUCCUAGGCCCAUUUAGUUUUUGUGGUCCCUAGACUACUCACCCUCCAGACACUGACCAGCCACUCAAGCCUGCUGACUGUCUGCCCACCAAAAGAUCACAGUUAGUGAUGGGCAUGGAUUUGCGGCGAAUUUCCACGUUUUGCCAUUGGCGGAUUGUUUCGCGAAAUGGAUGGAAAAAUUUUCUGUGCUGUCGCAAGAAUAGCCGCGUGUCAAAAAAUUGUCGCAAGAAUAGUCGCGGGCGUCAAAAGAAUAGUCGCACGUCCAAAAUUGUCGCAAGAAUA